AGACUAUAGGAAGUGGGGUAUUAGAAACAUUAGGACAAGAAAUAUCAAGUAGGAGUGAAGCAGAGCUGGAGGAGAGGGCAAAGCACUGUCCCAUAGGAGAGAGCAGGAGACAGGUAUGUAAGGUAGAUAUUACUCUGGGAGGCCAUAAGCUUUCCUGAAGAGAUGGGUUUUAAGGCCCUUCUUAAAUGAUUGAAGACUAGGGGAGAGUCUGAUGGCAGUAGGCAAGCUAUUCCAUAG